CUCUCCAGACAGUGGCCUGGGAGAGACCCUGGAACCUAGAAUAGAUGGUUCCUCUACUGGUGCUAAGGAAUGUGGCAUACAAGGGUUAUUGAACUCAGCAGGGUGUUGCCGGCUAAGCCUGGAAGACAGGCUGAGAAGGAAAAGGACUUUGUUUGUGUUAAUGAUACUUUUUUGGAGUUUUAAGUUUGGAUAGUUGUGAUCCUAGAAGGGGUGGACUUAAGCUGGUGAGCUGGCUGCAAGCCUGAGUCACUGGAAGAAAAAUGAUCACAGUGUUGGAGAGACUGUUGGCUCAGGGUGCUACAGAAACAAGAGCUGCUACCCUACACCUGCCUAUAAGCGGUUGUCUACUGGUGACCAGGAUGCUAGGCGUCCGUAUGUGCAUUUUGCUCAGACAGCAACAGCCAUGACUUGAGGAACAGAUUGGAAAUAUCAGGAAUGCGAAUUCUGGUCAUCUCAGGAUAUGCAGGGGACUUUUUGGUGGCCUCGGAGAGGUAUUCUUUGAGCUCUCACUCAUUAAUUAAAGGGGCCUAGAUAUUGAAUCUUUAAC